rnacentral:rRNA from 1 species
UACGUAGGUAGCAAGCGUUGUUCGGAGUUACUGGGCGUAAAGGGUGUGUAGGCGGUUGUUUAAGUUUGGUGUGAAAUCUCCCGGCUCAACCGGGAGGGUGCGCCGAAUACUGAAUGACUUGGAGUGCGGGAGAGGAAAGUGGAAUUCCUGGUGUAGCGGUGAAAUGCGUAGAUAUCAGGAGGAACACCGGUGGUGUAGACGGCUUUCUGGACCGUAACUGACGCUGAGACACGAAAGCGUGGGUAGCAAACAGG